AGCGUGAGCGGCCAAAGCGGAUGUAUCUACGAUUAUUAUAUAUUCCAUAGGUAGGCUGGGAUUGAUAGUUGCAACAUAUACGGGUACUAAGGUUUCUGACUUGGAAGAUCUAAGCCGUCCAAAGUAUCGAAAUUUCAAUCAGUGCAAUUAAGUGCAAUAUAGUCUUUUUCUUGCAAAGAAUUCGAGAUUUCAAGAACAGCUAGCUAAUUCGUCAAAGCUAUAUCAGUUCUUUGGCAUAAAUUCGCUGCAUCAAUAAACAUUCGGCGCUGCAACCGAGCACAGCACGCGACACAGGAGGCCCGUAUCAGUCACUGGCUGAACAAAAAUCAAAAAGACAACAUCUUUUCCAGGAGGAUUCCCUGUGUGGUUCCGGAAUAGGUGAUUACAUAAUAUGAGCAGUCAAGGACUAAUUCAUAUGGUAUCGCAAUUUAAGUUCCGUUCGAGCACGGCCAAUUUCGAGGAAUUGAAGGGGAAU